rnacentral:piRNA from 1 species
UGAAGCCUCUUGUAGCCCCCAGGGCAC